UCUUUCUUUGCUGGCGACCGGCGCACGGGUGAGUAACACGUAUCCAACCUGCCCUUUACUCGGGGAUAGCCUUUCGAAAGAAAGAUUAAUACCCGAUAGCAUAAUGAUUCCGCAUGGUUUCAUUAUUAAAGGAUUCCGGUAAAGGAUGGGGAUGCGUUCCACUAGGUUGUUGGUGAGGUAACGGCCCACCAAGCCUUCGAUGGAUAGGGGUUCUGAGAGGAAGGUCCCCCACAUUGGAACUGAGACACGGUCCAA
rnacentral:rRNA from 1 species